rnacentral:SRP_RNA from 1 species
UGUUAGUGCUCCUGUACUAUGCUUACUUGUCAAAUCGAUCAGGUCCGGAAGGAAGCAGUCGUAGCAGGCUAUGUAUGUGCCGAGAUGUCGUUAGCUGGG